GCAAGGCACAGGGGACAUUACAGGAGUUUUGAAACAAAACCUUCCCAACUGAAUGAUUCCUGACAACAGUUUGUAAUUAAUUAGCCAUAGUCACUUGACUAUCCACAUAACUAAAAAAUCUGCUUGUUGCUUGGAACAGGGUAAGUACAGAAAAUCAAUGUUUCCAAGAUUUUGGUCUCGAAGGCCAAAGGCCCCGAGUAUUACUAAAAUUAGAAUCUCUCUUAAAAUAUACAAAGACUCAAUGAAGGAAUAUUCCUAUUAGCCAACAAUAUCCAUCUAAAAUCCCUAGAAUUAGAAAUUUCAUUAUUUCACAUUAAAAUGUUUAAUGAAGCAUCUAAUUUAAUCUAUCAUCUAAUGCUUAGAAAAUUGCUCCCUGAGUGACAGGAAAAAGAAAAACAAAUGCUGUUCUAAUCCUUGAGACUGAGUUAGGAAGCAAAUUCCAGCAUGUAAUAAGAUAAUCCCAUGAAUACAACCCACUCUUCAAUUUUCACAUAUUUCUUUUAGUGAAAGAAUAAAUAGCAAGCAAAGACUGAUAAUUUCUUUCUAAUUGACUACAUAAUAUACCUAUACAUGCUGAUACUCACUAAGAAUGUUGUGGCGUCUACGAAAAUAGUGUGAAUGACUCGAGUGCUGGCACAGCCAUUUCUACAGUGUUCACUCCUCUGACGCUGGUACCCCAAAGCCUGAUUACUAGGUGUUUGAAGGCUGUCAGCCAUGCACUUAAAUCAUUGUCAUGUAAUUCCCGAAGAUAUAUAGGCCUCUGUACAAUUCAUCUGCUCUAACAUAUGCAAGUGGGUUCGUUUUGGUACCAGUUCCUGACCAAACUGAACGCCCUCCACGGGUUUGCCUGGUAUGGUCCCUGUGCUGGACCUCAGCUCACAGAAGUGUCUUGGUCACUCAUUUUGUUCAGAUUUCCAAGGUUUCCAUUUUUUUAAGUCAUCAUCGAUCC
ensembl:lncRNA novel transcript